rnacentral:sRNA from 1 species
AGAGAGAGAGGACACAAUAGUGCCAUGGAACAUGUGGUUGUUGGCCUCGUUCUCAUCUUCUCCAAGUAGAAGGUUAUGUAUGUGGCUUAAUGUACAGCUAAGGGAAGAAAUUCCCUGAGUCUUUGACUGUGAUAUGGGAGACUGGAAUACUACUAUGAACAACCUACCGGUCUGAUGCUGAGCAGAUCAUAACGGCUUUGUUCUACCCAUCUUCACACAGGUUCCUGCGCAUGCCCAACUCACCGUGCUGCUGGGCGCAUAGAGAGAAUACAUCCAUCCCUUUGCAUUUCUCAUUGACUUCCUACCUUCUGCUAUGACAGCUAUCGCGACCAAAAUCGUAGGUUAAGCCUUGAAAGCAAGACUAUUCAACCCAAGUAUACAUGGGCUGUAUAUCUAAGUUUUCUUUUGCCACAUUUUUAAAUGUUAAAAAAAAACAUAGAAGCUAAUUCCUAACAGCUCAUUUACUAUAACAUAAUCAAAUAGUAUUACUUUGAUAUUCAGUCAAUAUGUACACAAUGUAUCAACGUAGUUAUUUUUAUAUUUGCCUUCAAAACGUGGUAUUUUAUACUCAAAGGACAUCUCAGCAUGGACUUUAUAUAUUUCACAAGCUUGGUAGCCACGUGUGACCAGCGGCUUUACAACCCCCACCCUCACCCCACUCUCCACUGUUGCCCUCUGCCCUGUGUGAUUGCCAAAAGCAAUGCUGUCACCUUCUGGGAAGAUCUCAGAGACUCACAUGCAAUUAAAAAUGGCCGAAAGUCAUGAGGUGGGCUCAGGGUUCCUUCUGUGUCACCUCUAACAUUCCUGCUUGAUUUAUGCUGCCGGGAUUUUUUUUUUUUUUAAAGUAUACUCGUUUGUUCUCCUGCUCCAGAGGUGACCUUACAAUGGAGAUCAGCACAGUUUCUCGUAUCUGGACAUCGAGACAGCAAACUUAACAGGACCGGAUAGCCAAGAUCUAGGUACAAGUGCUAGGAGCAAGAGUGAGUCCAAUAUGACCCCAGGGAUCCUUUAAGUGAGGCAAAGAGGCAGAAAAUGAAGACUUCUUAAUUUGAGGAUGGAGGUAAAUGCCCAGAGACAACGAAAGAGCGGGCUGCUGAGCCAGAAAAGGGCAAGACGGACAAUCCUCGGGGUCUCUGUGAGGAAAGAAACUGAGCCGACGCCUGGACACCACUCCUGUGAGCCUCAUCUCCAACCUCAAACCUCCAGUCCUGUAAAGAAAAAGGCCCCCACAAACUUCAUGGUCAUUUUGCAGCAGACCCGUGUUGUUUUCCACAGCCGAUGCUGGAAGGCCAGCACUUCCUGUGUUAGCCCUACUGUGCUAUUCUAGCCCAUCAGCAGAAACAAGGUAUUAGGCUACCUCCUAUUUUAACAGGGUGCUCUUGAAAUUCAGAUGUCUCUCCUGUGCAGAGAGGGCUACAGAUGUCAAGGCCUGCCUCCUGGCUGAGAGGAAGGGGUCGCUCCGCCGGGGAAGCUCACACACACUGGUCUUAUCUACUUAGAGUUCAGGAGUUCUCAAUGGUAAUGGACACUCAGUCUCUCUAGAUAUCUUCACUGCACUGAAAGUACGACAUCCAAUCGGAACCUCGAACUUAGCCAUUCACCUUCCCCCCCUGAAAGCUCGGUAUCUCAGCCCCAGACAGCACAAGUUACACUUUAUUCUAAAAUCCCACCACAGAUUCUACCUAAACACUCACAUUUUCACAAAACUCACCCUCACUUUUUUUUUCCUCUGACACAACUCUAUUAGUGUUACACAUGGAACUUCAUGUUUUCGUAUCACUUCCCCUAAUUACCACCUCCUCAAGCUGCCGUGAAAUCACCAGUAACACAAGGGGCGGACUUCACUGCGGACUCUGCGAUUUUCAGUACAGGGCAGUGAGUUUAUUGACACAUCUUGCUCUUUUCUUCUCUCCUGCUACAUGAGCAGCUUGCAGUUCUCCCUCAUACAUGCCCACACUCCAGUCUCAGAGCUUCCCGCACUGGUGUAAACCUCUCGAUGACUGUUUUCUAAUCUGUGCUCUAUUCACAAGUGUCAUGCCUUAAUCUCAGGAACUGUGCUCACCCACUUAAUUCCUCGUGAUCUGGACUUGGGGCACACUCUGCCCACCACUUGUUAGUAUUUAUCAAUGCUGUGCAAGGCCUCAGCCACCUCCAGCCACUGACCAGUAUGCUGCUUUGCCGUUCACAGUGCAGUCGGGAGAUUACAGGAUAACCAGGAAGUGGUGCAGAGCUCUGAAAAAGGAAUGGAUCCUGUGCCAUUAGAAUUCAAGUAUGAGAAAGAGGUCACUCCCAACUUAAGAAAGCUCUUGAGACCAGGGGGUGGAAAAAGUAAGUGAGUACGGGUGUGGCCAUUGUUGUGGGCAGAAGAGGCCUCGGUAGCUAAAGAGUUGGGAGGGUGAUAACACUCUAUCUGUGGAGAAGAAUGAAGUCAGCUUGAGGUAGAGGACGAACAGAUAAGCCUCAGUGUAGGUGGGGCAAGACCUUGGAAGGUUGUAAAGUCAGCAAACAGGGUUUGGCCUUUUUUUUUUUUCUUUCUGUUUCUUUAGAGGAACUCAUAUUAAUACUCGCAUUUCUGUCGUUCCUUUCUUCUCCCCUUUUAGCUAUGAUCCAUGGCAGUCUUGGAAGAUUGGUGAACAUAGACAAAAUUAAUAUACUUUUUAAUGUAUCAUAACCACUAAAUGAAAUGGAAGCGA